rnacentral:rRNA from 1 species
UUUCUUUUUUUUAAAAGAUAAUUUCUGCUUAUUGAAGAUUUAACAGCCGCAGUAUACUGACUGUGCAAAGGUAGCAUAAUUAAUUGCUUUUUUAAUGAAAGCUUGUUUGAAUGAAGAAACGAGAUCAAAAAUUUUUUUAGAUUUAAAUUGAAGUUUACCUUUAGGUAAAAAGUCCUUUAAAGUAAAUUAAGAAGAAAAGACCCUAGAAAUUUUUCUAAAUCUUUUAAGAAAAGUUCACGAAAAGGCAAAGUUUAGAAGGGGAAUCAGAUUUUUUUAAAAAAAUCAUUUAUUUAAAAAAUUACUCUAGGGAUAACAGGAUAAUAUUUUUUUUAAGUUCUUAUUGGAAAAUUUUUUAUUACCUCGAUGUUGAAUUAAAAAAUAAUCAAUUUGUAGCAGAAUUGAGGUGAAGUCUGUUCGACUUUUAUAUUUUUACA